CUACUGGCAUCGAGAGGUGUCGGAAUGGGGUGGCAGAAGUCAGCAGAGGUCGUAGUAGCCGUUGAAACCGGAGCGGCGAAGGGC
rnacentral:ncRNA from 1 species